UACGUAGGGUGCAAGCGUUGUCCGGAAUUAUUGGGCGUAAAGAGCGUGUAGGCGGCCUCGUAAGUCCGCUGUGAAAGUCCAGGGCUCAACCCUGGAAAGCCGGUGGAUACUGCGAGGCUAGAGUCCGGAAGGGGCGAGUGGAAUUCCUGGUGUAGCGGUGAAAUGCGCAGAUAUCAGGAGGAACACCAGUGGCGAAAGCGGCUUCCUGGUCCAGCACCGACGUUCAGGCACGAAAGCGUGGGGAGCAAACAGG
rnacentral:rRNA from 1 species